UGAACGCUAGCGGCAGGCUUAACACAUGCAAGUCGAGGGGCAGCAUGAUGAAACUUUCGGGUUUCAUUGAUGGCGACCGGCGCACGGGUGAGUAACACGUAUGCAACCUGCCCGUCACAGGGGGAUAACCGGGGGAAACCCCGCCUAAUACCCCAUAUUAUAUAGUUAUUGCAUGAUGAUUAUAUGAAAACCUUGGUGGUGACGGAUGGGCAUGCGGUGCAUUAGCUAGUUGGUGAGGUAACGGCUCACCAAGGCGACGAUGCAUAGGGGUUCUGAGAGGAAGGUCCCCCACACUGGAACUGAGACACGGUCCAGACUCCUACGGGAGGCAGCAGUGAGGAAUAUUGGUCAAUGGCCGGAAGGCUGAACCAGCCAAGUAGCGUGAAGGAUGAAGGUUCUAUGGAUUGUAAACUUCUUUUAUACGGGAAUAAAACCACCUACGUGUAGGUGCUUGUAUGUACCGUAUGAAUAAGCAUCGGCUAACUCCGUG
rnacentral:rRNA from 1 species